AAUAUUUGACGCCGUUGGCUUUUUUAAAUAUGUUUGACCGUUCGUCUUAUUUAAAAAAUUUAAGUAAUUAUUAAUUGGUUUCCUUUCAUUUGAUUCAUUGUUAAAUAUACUUUUAUGCAUACAUAUAGUUUUACAUAUUUCACAAAAUUUUUUAAAUAAGACGAACGGUCAAACAUGUUUAAAAAAGUCAACGACGUCAAAUAUU
rnacentral:pre_miRNA from 1 species